rnacentral:rRNA from 1 species
AUUGAACGCUGGCGGCAGGCUUAACACAUGCAAGUCGAGCGGAGAUGAGGUGCUUGCACCUUAUCUUAGCGGCGGACGGGUGAGUAAUGCUUAGGAAUCUGCCUAGUAGUGGGGGACAACAUUCCGACAGGAAUGCUAAUACCGCAUACGCGCGACGGGGGAAAGCAGGGGACCUUCGGACGUUGCGCUAAUAGAUGAGCAUAAGUCGGAUUAGCUAGUUGGUGGGGUAAAGGUCUACCAAGGCGACGAUCUGUAGCGGGUCUGAGAGGAUGAUCCGCCACACUGGGACUGAGACACGGCCCAGACUCCUACGGGAGGCAGCAGUGGGGAAUAUUGGACAAUGGGGGGAACCCUGAUCCAGCCAUGCCGCGUGUGUGAAGAAGGCCUUUUGGUUGUAAAGCACUUUAAGCGAGGAGGAGGCGCUCUAGGAUAAUACCCUAGAUGCGUGGACGUUACUCGCAGAAUAAGCACCGGCUAACUCUGUGCCAGCCGCCGCCGUAACAC